AAAGCGGUUUCGUGGCGACGUACCGUUGCACACGAUAGAUUGUGGCUGGUCCGGGUCUCGUCUACGUGUGUUCCUGUGUGCAGUCUAUCUUUCUUUUCCCUCUUGUCAACCCUCUUUUCAUUCUUUCGACUCAACUGGAUAGCGACAGUUUCUCAGGCCCUUGCAUCACGACCCCCUUUGCUUUUCUUUCCACGUUUGUACCCUCUUCCUGCUGGAAGAUGACCGUGCUGGUGGCUCAGUUCGCGGGGGACCAUGGAUCACCGUAAGAAAGAGACGCGGUGGUUGUCUGUCGCGACUGGUGCUCGAGAUAGCGGCGAAGAAGGGAUCACAGGCCGACAGAGAAAGAGUGUAUUGCUAUUUUCGAGACGCCGUGGAGCCCGGCCAACGUGUGCGUCCGGUUUACGAGCUUUACGAGUGUAACCACGAAGCUUUGAAAAAGAGAAAUUAAGAAUCGUGAAAGGUGAAAGGGUUUCGGUGUACAAAGCGAAGAAUAGAUUUCGACGACGAUGAUCGAUAAGCUGAUAGUGAAUCGUGCGGGGUUUAUCUUGGAUUCAAGACUGUGAAUAAUGUUGAGUUUGGUCAAGAGAGAAGAGAAAAAGAGAGGAUGUCUCGAACGAAGACGUAGCCGUGUUUUCGAGUCACUUUGUUGCGAUGAUUCCUACUCUUUGUCAAUUAAUCGUCAUGGAGAUUGGCCUCUGGAGAGUGUACGAUGUUGGAAGGUGGACGUGCAGUGACUUGGCUCCUUGUAUCAGCCCUACGAGCUGCACGUCACCCGAAAGAUUCACGUACUAACCCAGUUGCACCUGUUUGAACCCACCAGUUGCAGAGUCCUGCACCGUAACCCCAUGACGCAUUUAACACAUGGCCCGCCUGGAGAUACCAAGUAUAGUGGUGCAUAAAGGCAGCAGGUCGCACAGCCGACCUGAGAGUCCCACGGUGGUGGUGCGAGGAGGAAUGCCCUCACUGCCAUCCUCUAGGCAAGGCUUCGUCAUAAGUGGCUCCAAUACAUCAUAUCAGAACAGCUCGGAGUCGGAUAUGAUAGACGGGAAUGCCAAUCCGAAUGUCGGCUCUUCUCCUACACAGAAUUCUCUCCACCGCAGCUCGCCCUCCUGUCCUCCUGACAAAUCAGACACAGAGAACAAGAACUUUCGUACCAGGACGAAUACGAAAGUUAAGUUGCUGGUCAGGAGCCAUGCUAUGAGAGAGUCGACGUCUCCCCCAAGGGAGCCACACAACGGUUCGUCGUCUCCACAUAGCCCUCAGUCGGUGGACGGUGAAAAGAAGUUCGUGGGCAACCUGUCUCCAAAUUCCACUAACGCGAAGCUUAAUAACAACGAGUCAAUGUUCAACAGUAAUCUUUGCCCGAAUCAAUCCCCCAAGCAAAUGCGUAAUACAGCCACUUCACCCACCUGUCGAGCUCCGUCACGAAAUGGUCAAUCUAGUCCCUCCCAAAUUCACUCACCAAAGAAUAAUACCUCUCCAACGAACGGCAAUAAGUCGGAGAAUCAACGUUCCAAGAUGACAGGCUCGCACGUGAUUCAAAAAUGCAAUAAUUGCGUAAAGAACAAUCAAAAUGACCGACCCGGCUUGCUUCAGACGCCUGUGUCUCCGUCGAAGGCUGGGCAGGCGUUGCAACACUCGCCAAAGAGUACGAACCUGGCUCAAAACGCGCAAAACAAUCAGCAGAAGAUGGAACAACGUAGACCAAAUACGUUGAAUAUUUGCAACAACCAGUGUUCGACGCAGUGCGGCAAUACCUUGUCCGUGAGCAGACCUAGCUCGCGGCACAAGCUGAGGCAUCAGAAUUCCUCUCAGGGUAGCUUUGACAGCGCGUCUCCUUGCCUCUCACGAGAUAGCAGUACGGAAUUGUAUACGGACAGUACUGGAAUAGAUCUGGAGCAUUUCAUCGCGGAAACUAUAAAUCGUAACCAGAAGGAUCGCACGGUGCUAUUAAAAAUCGAGAAAGAUCUGAUAGAAUUCGCAAAGGACAAGCAGAAAGUCUGUCACAAGUUUCCAAACAUGUCCUCUUACAACAGAAUGCUAGUGCAUCGCGUAGCAGCCUACUUUGGCAUGGAACAUAACGUAGAUCAGUCUGGUUCCAGCGUGAUAGUUACCAGAACGAAAAACAUGCGAAUUCCAAAUACUCGUUUUAAGGAACACAUCAGAGACGAUCUGAUUCUGUCUGAAGAACCGCGAAGAAGUAUUCUGAAGAGAGAUUCUAGCUCGUUCGAGGACAAUUUCAAUUUUAAGUCACCUGACAGAUUGUCUGGCGAUUAUUGCCGACAGAGUAAGAGUUUCGAGGAAAGGGAGGAGGAGUAUGAACGUGCCAGACGAAGAAUAUUUAAAGACAGCAGUGGAGAAAGUAGCGAAGUUACUUCCUGGCCUUACUGGUCUUCUUCAGAAAGUUCUGACGCUUCUGCGAGAUAUCGUUUGUUACAUCCUUCGGAUCAUACGAUGAGGCUAUGUUGCGUAUGUAGCAGGCAAACGAAGCUCUUGAAAGGGGAAUCUUUCGAUGGAAGAGAAUCCUGUCGAGGUUCCGUAUUGAGGCCAUCUGUUUCCAAGUCCUUUAGUUUCGGUGGUUACACCAGGGGAAUGCUUUCUAGAGGGGACAGUGUUACAUCCACUCAUAGUGCUGGGGCUCGCCUUAUGAAGCAAGAGAUUAAAUCUGUUGCAGACUCAGGUGCUAGUAUGUGUUCACGACUAAGUCCUUCGAGUAGCGGCUAUAAAUCGCAAAGCCAACGCAGCGAUGCCACGAUAUCGCCGUCUCCUUCGCCAUCCCCUGUGGCAACCAUGACCUGCAGUCAUACCCAAGUAUCUAGUCAGGAUCUCGCUUCUCCGGAAUCGAAUAAUCAAACAGUGAUGUGGGCGGUUACCAGUAUAUCUAGUGUGCCGCCAGGUAGCAUAAUCAUAAAUCCGCAAACGAAUCAGCCGUAUACCAAUCCAGAUGGUUCGAUUUACCGCUUCGAUCCAGAGAACCCACCAAAAUUUUAUACUGCUGCAUUGCCGCACGAAAACGAAAGGAAUAACAUGUCGCCCAGCAAGACUAUAGAAGUAUCCGAGCCACCCAAAAUAACACAAAAUAAUACAAAGAACGAAAAUAAAAAGAGAUCGCAGACUAACAAGCAACACAACGGUGGUAACACAACAGCAGUGACUCAUGUGACGAACUCGGCGACAUCACCGAGUUUGCCGUUCACGCCGCCACCUCAACAGAAUUCAGGAUCAUUGCAACAACCGCAACAACAACAACAACAACAACAGCAGCAGCAGCAGCAGCAGCCGCAGCAACAGCAGCCGCAGCCGCAGCAACAGCAGCCGCAGCCGCAGCAGCAACAAACUCUAGUCAAGUCAUCGUCGACAGUGCAAACUUGCAAUCACAACCAAGCAGCUCAACCAUACACGACCUACGUACCUACCUCAGAACCGUAUAAUCAGGGUGUUUAUCCACCCUCUGUGGGGCAACAGACUGUGAUGAUGGCUCCUCAUCCGAGUCAAAAUCAGGCGAACGUUCAAAACAAUGGUCAGGGUGAUGUAUUUAAUCAGAAUUCGGUUUACGCGAAUUAUGCAGUACCUGUGCAACAAGGACCAGUGUCGCAGACAACGGAGAUAACUGAAUUGUCGGGAUAUUUUAUGGGUAUGAGUAUCUACGAUCAACGCGUGACUGGUGAUAACCAUUCUACGCCGCCGCACUCUUACCCACAACCGCAACCAUCUACAAAUCAAGCAGUUCAAAAUGUGCAGACGAUGCAGCAGAAUUACUGGCAACCACCACCUAAUUCUGUACCGGCACAACAGACGAUGUACUUCGUACCUCCGCCUGGUGCAGCACUUUCAGUCAGUCAGGGUCCAGGUGAUAGACAGCCAUUGCACCAACAACAGAGAUUUACGACAAAUUAUUCUUUCAAUGCACAAACUAUGACUCCUCCGAGCCAAUCAAAUUCUAAUUACGUGGGUAGUUAUCCAGUCCCUUACAAUUCAAUGCCCGCUGUAACACCAGCACCAGGGGAUUACACGUAUCAACCAUCGGUUCAUAUGGUACCUACGUAUUAUCCGCCAGGUCAAACCACGAUUCAACCACCACCUGUCAUGUACAGAGUGCCAACACCACCAAAUACUCCGAAUUCUAAUCAGAUGCCUGGAAUGCCACUGAUGUACGUCAACUCUGGUAGCUAUCCGCCACCAACGAUGGUAUCCAACGGAACAUUUGGCCAUCAAGUCGGACACAAUGGCACAUCACCUGCACCUCCUGGAACUUAUAUGACUCCCGCGCUGGUUCCCAAUCUCGUUUUUAGGCAAAAUGUUCCUGUUGUUGCUGGUGUACGAGCUUCAACGCCAGGUAACUCUCAGAGAACUAGCAGGUCGCCGACUCCAGCACAUGAGCUGUUCGGAAGUGGGAGCGGGGACAGAAGCGCACAACCCCAACCACGCUACCCACUGCCAAUGUAUCAGGGUGUCCAUAUUGUACAAGGAGACAUGAGAUUGAUGCAUCCCACAGUACCAGCCAAUCCACGGUUGCAGUAUGCACCAGUACCAUCACCACCUGUUGUUCAAGGUUGUCCACGACCGUACCGACCGCCUUCUUAUUCGUCGAACACCUCAGGCGCUGGUACGCCAACCUCGUUUGACGGGAGAAAUCAGAAAAUUCGUAAACAGAGGUCCAAAGUAGCAUCGUUGCCACCAACAGGCGCGCGGCCCAAUCUUUAUCAGACUCCUUCCAUGCCGUCGCUCUCGUCUAACGUUCCGAAAGAUAUCAGAGAAGCGAAACCUGUGGAAGACAAUAUGAUAUAAGGUACAGAACUUCAGUAUAAAAUACUACAAAAAGAACACACGGUAUCUACAUUGUAACGGACCGUGAAGGUGACAAUCACCCGCCGAAACCAACUGGUACAAUAUUAAGUACCCGGGCCAAUUUUGGAAGAGGAUCAGUGCUGAACGUAAAGAAAAAGACAAUUAUAUCGUUACAGGCUAAUUGAGAAGAACCGAAUAAGCAGCUCGUGGUUUACCGCUAUGCGUACAUGAUUCUUAUUAUUAAUAUUAAUAAUAAUUUUAAUUAAAUAUCUAAGAGAAAAGAAAUAUAAAAAGCACACACUACUAGAAUAUAAAAAUUCACGUAUUACAAAGAUCGAAAAAGGAACAAAGAAGAUUGAAAAUCAUCCCUAAGAUAAAAAUGAAAAUGUUAUACAUCUCUUUUGAUAAAAUGCGGUGACCGAUGAAACUAACAGAAAAUAAAGAAGAAGGAAAAGGAAGACACAUUGAAAUUCGUUCAUACCGAUCAUAUAAUAAAAAUCUGAAUUAUCAGAGUAUUCAAAGGAGAGAAAUGAAGCAGAGGAAAAAUGUAUAGAGUGCAUAAAGGAAGGAUAAUCUGUGCGUUGUUCUUUGGCGUAGGGCACGAUAGACCCAGUGGUACACACCGAACAGAGUUACUGAACAGAAUUUUAACUAUUACAAUUAUUAUAUAUUAUAUAUACAGUAUAUUAUAUUAUAUCUGGAGAUAUUUUAAUCGCGGUUUUACAGAUACUAUAUGAAUGUGAGAUUUACUUUUAAGAGAAGGUACUUUUAAAAUGAACACAGAUAUAUACGCAUGGAUUGCCUGGCCCGGUCUACAGAUCAGUCUCGACCGGCUAGGAAAUCCUCAUUAUAAAUAACGAUAAAACUAAUGUACGAGUAUUAUAUAAUACACGUUACUGAGUACGUUUACAGUAGCAACCGCAAACGCUGUCCAGCCAAAAUCUCUGGAUCGGCUCUACGUUCUUUCAGGAAUGAUCAUUGCUCAUUGAUUCUUCUGUGUACUGCCACCAAAGAGUUGCGUUAAUCUUAAAAAAAAAGACAAAAAGGAAAAAGUAAAAAAAAAAAAGAAGGGGAAAGAAGUAGGAAGAACAGAACAGAACAAAAAUAUUGCUGCCAGUUGUGACUCGCGGAUAGGAAUGAAAUUAUUUGCUACCUCAAUUUUAUAUCGAAAAGAUUUUUCAUGUUAUCGGCCUUUUAUGGAGUUGUGAAUUCUUCCAAGAAAGCUUUCAAUUCUUUUCAUUCAAAGACGAGAGUAACCAUAAUUUCAUCGAAUAUUUAAUGAUACUUGCAACGUGAUUUAUUGUACAUAAGUAUUGCGUAAACGAAAUGUUUCAUCAGGGAGAUAAACGCGAUUUAUAUUCGAAAGGUUUCCUCUGGCAUAAUAAUCGUCUCCCUGAUAUCUUGCAUUCUAAGAUUUGCUAACGCUUCUGAUCUCUGAUAAUUACUUUAGUACAAGUUAAUGUAUCGCUCGAGGAGAAAAUGUAAACGUAUUCAGUACAUGGAUCUAUAUACCUAGUUCGACACAAGUAGUUAAGUAGCGCGAAACCAUCACAGCUUAGUGUCACGAAAGAGAACCUGUCUCACAUACAUCUUUAAAAGAAAGCCGUUCUUUCUCUUUUUCCGUUGAUCGUCCGUAAAUAGGGAAUUGAUGUAAAGUUUUAGCCGAUACGAGACGCGCACGUUUAACGACAAUUCUGUAUUAUUUUGUGAGGUUUCCUUACGAGAAGAAUGAACAUGAAAACGCGACAGAUGCUCCACACAGUAACUAUGAUUCGUCUUCCAGGCUUCACAGCACGCUUCUCAAUCCUAUAGAUAUCCGAACUACGUAAUUAGAUAUACUUUUCACGCCCGAUUCUACGAAGAAGUAAUAUGUAAUUAGUUUGGCAGCGGUGAUGGUGACGCGUGAUCGUCGUAAUUAAUAAUGUCUCCGUCUGUGAAAAAAAUUCAUCUGCGGAUCAACGUAGACGAUCUUCAUAUCGCAAUUAACAUUCAUUUUUAGUUAAUCGAUCUACUAUCAAUAACAAUGCUAAAUCUAAGUUCAAUAUUUCAAAUAUCAUUUCUAAUAAGUUUUUAGUAAGGCGUGUACGUUGCUCCGCACGAGAAAUACCAAGUGGAAUCCAUCCAGAAGCUUCGCUUACGGUGAUUGUACUUCAGGACGUAGGUGAAGGGUGUGCCUAUCUUUUUAUGAGAUUUAAUUGAAAAAAAUGCGCGCACCGCGACCUUUUAUCUACCCUAUGCCAAGCGACGCGAAAGAGAGGCACUACUUUCUUCAUAAGAAAGCGUGAUAAAUUUAUCUAAAGAUCUCUAGAUUUAAAAAGAACCGAAAGAAAAAAAAAAAGAUAAAAAAGAGGGAGAAAGUGAGAGUAGAAACGAGAGAGACCUGAGCAGAAUAAAUAUUAGACGGAUUAAAACUAUUCAAAUGUUUCAAUUAUAAAGAGAUGGGCGCACAACAAAGUAGUGUUUAACCGUACCUAAAGUCGUCGUAGUGAUUAAUGAAGAUAAUUGUACCUAUAACAAAAAAACAACAAAAAAAAAAAAAGAAAAACAGUUCAUGAAUCUCUCUAAAACAUAAUUAACAAAAGAAGGAAAGAAAAAAUGUGAAACAGGAUUAUAAUACAGGAGAGAAACCGCUUGCAAGUGACGUUCACCAUUUUAUUCGCCACAUUGAAAUUCAUUAUUUUCAAAUGUUAUUCAGUCUACGUAAUUUUAUGAUAUUUUUAUAAUCAAUUACGAGAACAAAAUGCGAGAAUACGAUUAAAGGAAAAGAAGUGCAUAAUGUGUAUAAUAAUAUAAUUUAUGGUCGAGCGUUAUUUGCAGGCAGUCGCGCUUACGUCGUGCAACCGGAGCAGCUGAACCAAAGUCAUGAUUGUAAUUGCAUAGUCACAUUUAUUUAUUUUUCAUUUCGCUCGCAUGCGCUUUUAUCAGAAUACUCGAUGCAUCUGCUGUUACACCAGACUCGUGAUUCGUUCCGCUUAACACGUUCUGCAGGAACGUUUUCUUUCGGUGCGUUUUUAUUUUAUAAUAAAUUGCUUUAUUUAAUAUACAUAUGUGUUAUACGUUGUAGAAGAAAGAGUUGAGAGUCUAGAGAUGUGACCAGCAGGUGUAUCGAGCACUGUUCACAAGUGAUUUCGUAAGUUUGCCUGGGCUAUUGUAGAAAUGCAAGAGGAAAAAACAGAGGCACGAAGAAGGAACGAGAGAAUCGACGAAAUCAUUCGUUCAUCGGAUGAUGGGCUCAAGGGAUAUUAAAAACUAUGUACGAUCGACGAAGAGAACGGGUGAUAAAGUUAUUGUAACCUCACGUUCGUUUCCUACUAUUUUUGUAUGCAACAUAAAAAAAAGGAGAUUGACGGUAGCGAGAGAAUUAAGAAAAAGAAUAAAAUGAAGAAUUCGUGUGUGAGAGAGUGGGAUAGGAUGAACGAUGAAGGGUGAAGAGAAUAUGAAACAAAAAACAAAUUGAAAAUGAGAAUGAGUACGAAAGAAUGAGCAUAUGAAAGUUUUUCGAAGCUUUUUCGUUUGGAGAUCCUCGCAUCUUCCUGAUCACCUUCCGUUGAUUGCGUCGCCACGUCGAAGACUCAUUAGCCUUUAAGUGUAACCGGGUGCCUGAAAAUUGAUUAAUUUCUGCGCCAAGAUUAGCUGAUCCCAAUAAAAUACCGGCACGCGGCUGAAGCUUUUCCGCCAUGUGAGGAGUGUAAUCGAAUUUUUUCAAUUGUUAUCCGUGCUCCACGAGAAGCGAUAGGAACUUUCUAUUUUUGAGAAGAGAAGAGUAAAUUAGUUGAUUAAUUUCACGGCUAAAACGCCACACAAGUUAGCUUUUCAGUUUGUAAUCUCGCAAAGAAGUUCUGGCAACUUCAUCCUGCCGCUUCUUGUGCGUCGCAUCCGCAAAUAGCGCGUUAAAUUGGAGAUCGGCGACUCUUUAAUUUGAUUUUCUCAUAUCGUUCUUUAUCGUUUCGUUCAUCGAACACUGUGCGGGACGCAGAAUAAAGAACAGACGACGAUUCGUUCGUUGCCGAUCUUUUUAGAUGUUAGUUGACGUGAAUUCGACGUCUCACUUCAAAAAAGAAAAAGAAAAAAAACAAAUCGUUAUCUUGCAAGAUCGUUUUUGACGAUUAGUGAGUAUGGAAUGCGAUGUCCCAUGGUGAAUACAUCUGAAAUGUCGAUUGAUCUUGACUGCGAAUAUAAAUACAAAGAGGAUAAGGUUCGGACGAGCUAUACUUGCGUAUUUGCAUUCUUUCCAGAUCACACCUGAUUGUUUCUUUUACGUUCGACAUAUCACGUGGAACAGGAGCAAACGAUGGCUGUGCCUUUAUGCUUAAUAUUAUAAUUUAGAGUUUUCAUUUGAACUGAGAUUUCUGUGCAGGAUAUUUUCAAAUCGUUUCUUGUCCUGUGUAAAGGUUGAAUGUUAAUAUUUAUGCAUUAAGAAAUAAGAAGAUGAUUCAAAUGUAUUCACUGAUAACAUUGGGCUAAACACUGUGUCAAGAUGAUGUUAACUCUUUGAGUCUCAGAAAGAGUAAACUUUCAUUGAAAUGUUUGGUCCUUUUCUGUAUGGAAAAUUCUAUGAUUUGCAUUAAUUUUGUGGUAGGAUAUCCUACAUAUGUAUGUAUAUACAUAGGCUGCAUAGGCUGAUCCUCAAAGAGUUACAAAGGGAAAAGAUGAUUGAGGGAAAGCGUGAGUGUGUGUGUGUGGGAAGAAAAGAAGAAUAACAAAAGAAAACCUACGACGAAUCGAAGAAUUCGUAUGCAUAUGCAUCACGAAGGUGACCGAGAAGGUGAAUGAAAUUCGGAAUCGUAUGGUGGAAACAAAAGAGCUAUACUACCAACCCAAAGAUGCACAACAUCAUAGAGAGCCGGACAAUUUGAUAGAACUCAUGUCAGUCUAAUUAUAUUUCUUGUUAUAUUAUAUACAUAUAUAUAUCAUAUUUUCCAAAAACGAAUUAUAUAUAAUUCAAUAAAAAAGAAGACACUCUCGUUUGAUA